UACGUAGGGUGCAAGCGUUAAUCGGAAUUACUGGGCGUAAAGCGUGCGCAGGCGGUUGUGCAAGACCGAUGUCGGAAAUCCCCGGGCUUAACCUGGGAAUGGCAUUGGUGACUGCACGGCUAGAGUGUGUCAGAGGGGGGUAGAAUUCCACGUGUAGCAGUGAAAUGCGUAGAGAUGUGGAGGAAUACCGAUGGCGAAGGCAGCCCCCUGGGUCAAUACUGACGCUCAUGCACGAAAGCGUGGGGAGCAAACAGG
rnacentral:rRNA from 1 species